rnacentral:tRNA from 1 species
GUGAGCGUAGCUCAGGGGUUAGAGCGCUGGUCUGUGGAACCAGAUGUCGGGGGUUCAAUUCCCCUCGCUCACCCUA